UACGUAGGGGGCAAGCGUUGUCCGGAAUCAUUGGGCGUAAAGAGCGUGUAGGCGGCCUGGUAAGUCCGCUGUGAAAGCCCAGGGCUCAACCCUGGAAUGCCGGUGGAAACUGUCAGGCUCGAGUCCGGAAGAGGCGAGUGGAAUUCCUGGUGUAGCGGUGAAAUGCGCAGAUAUCAGGAGGAACACCAAUGGCGAAGGCAGCUCGCUGGGACGGUACUGACGCUGAGGUGCGAAAGCGAGGGGAGCAAACAGG
rnacentral:rRNA from 1 species